rnacentral:rRNA from 1 species
GACGAACGCUGGCGGCGUGCUUAACACAUGCAAGUCGAACGGAAAAGCCCUGCUUUUGUCUGGUGUCCGAGUGGCGAACGGGUGAGUAACACGUGAGUAACCUGCCCUUGACUUUGGGAUAACCUCAGGAAACUGCGGCUAAUACCGGAUACGAGCUCCUGAUGCAUGGUGGGCGUCGGAAAGUUUCGGCGGUCAGGGAUGGACUCGCGGCUUAUCAGCUUGUUGGUGGGGUACUGGCUUACCAAGGCUUUGACGGGUAGCCGGCGUGAGAGGGUGACCGGCCACAUUGGGACUGAGAUACGGCCCAGACUCCUACGGGAGGCAGCAGUGGGGAAUAUUGCACAAUGGGCGGAAGCCUGAUGCAGCAACGCCGCGUGCGGGAUGACGGCCUUCGGGUUGUAAACCGCUUUCAGCUGUGACGAAGCGUGAGUGACGGUAAUGGCUGAAGAAGCACCGGCUAACUACGUG